CGAUGGCGAGCGCGAGUUCUUGUUUUUCCGGAAAUCUUUUAGAGGAGAAAUUCUACAACUCUAUCACGGCCACUGUGUAUGCCUCAAACAAAUCAUCAAGUUGCUUCUUGACCAAUGCCAACACUACCACCGAUGCAACUGUCUCAUUUAGAGGAAGAACCUAUGCAGUUCCAGCAUGAUCUGUUUAGCUUGGCUUGGCUUGGCAUGGCAAAUAUACACGCCAAGAGAUUUUUUAUUCCAUAAGAUUUGACUACAUACUCUUUUAAUUAAAUAUUUGUUUGUUAUGAAUUAUAGUUGAUGUAUCAACACACUUUGAUGUAUAGUUGUUACUUAAUAUUAUAGUUAAUGUAUUAAUACACUUUGUUUA